GUGAGUGAGUUCAUGAGAAGAGAUGCCCCAACAGAGGUUCCAGAAUGACAAGGGUGCCUGACCUAAGUCCCUCCCCACUUUAUAAGAAAGGCUUCACCACAUGCAAAUUUCUCUUCCAUCCCCAGGGUAAAUCCUCCCCUGGGCUGUGGGACCUGCAGCUUUCUCCCCACAUGGGGCUGAGGUCUCUGUGGAAGACAGAACUGUGCAGGAGAAGAUGAAACUGCUGGGUCAUCUCCUGUGUUGGGUGAUUGCCGCCGAGUGUGUCCUGACCCAGGUGCAACUGCAAGAGUGGGGCACACAACUGUUGAAGCCCUCACAGACCCUCUCCUUUACCUGUGCUGUGUAUGGUUACUCCAUCAUCAGUGGUUACUGCUGGAACUGGAUCCGCCAGCCCCCAGGGAAGGGGCUGGAGUGGAUAGGGUGCAUAUGUAGUAAUGGGAACACCUACUACAGCCCAUCCCUCAAGAGUCGCACCUCAAUCUCUAGAGACACAUCCAAGAACCAAUUCUCCUUGCAGUUGAGCUCUGUGGUCACUGAGGACACAGCUGUGUAUGACUGCACCAGAGACACAGUGAGAGGAAGUAAACAUGAGCUCAGACACAAACCUCCCAGAACACAGGAGUGCUGGGUUGAAGGGGGCCCUGAGGACACUAGGGGUGGCAGUGGAAAACUACAGUGA